AGCUCCAAUUGCGGCCCUUCAUUUGAUCAACAGCUCACAGAUAUUCUUCAAUUCAUUCAUCUUGUACCUUGCAUCCCGUGACUUAGGGUUGGUUUAAGUGGUGGAGUACCACUAUUCAUUAUUUUUUCAUUACUUUUCACUAUUUUUUAUUACUAUUUAAUAUUUAUUCAUUAAUUUUUAAUUAUUAUUCACAGAAUAUCCGAGAUCACCUCACUAUCUAAACACAAUUUUAGCAUUUUGUUCUCUGGUUCGUAACACUCUGGCUUGUAACAAAACCCCAUUGUUUCAGAACACCUUGCCCACAAUGUGUGGGUAGGUGUUUCAACUGGUGGAAACUCUCCCCAAGUUGUGUCUACUUUACUCUGUCCUUGCCAGCAUAUUAACACCUCCUACAAUGGUAAAUAUCUUAUCUUUUAAACUUGCCAAUCCAACACGGCUUCAGACUCUAGUUUCAACACCUUGUGGGAAUCAACCAAUGGUAGUGUGGGAAUCAGGGUUAAGAUGUUGCCAAUCUUCUUCUUGAGCAGGAAGACAUGAAAAAUCAGGUGGAUUGGAGAAGUUACUGGCAGCUCCAAGCGAUAGGCUACUGUGUCGACAUGGCUGAGGAUUUGGAAGGGGCCGUAAAAUCUAGGGGAUAAUAUCAUGCUUUUCCAUUGUUGUCGAUAAGAUUCUGGCAUAGCAGCUGAGAGAUUUGCUCACAAGAACGAAGACUCGCGUCGAUUGCUUCCACAUCAGACCCUCCCGACAGGAUGAUGGAGUGCUCAUGGGAUUGGUGUGGAGGAAGUGUUUUUGGCUCGGAGAAUAUGUCUUGAAAUUGAUGGAGAAGAUGCUAAAUGUUUGGGCAAGUGGGUUGGUCCGGCUUGGUUAUGGGCACUUCCAUCAACUGCAGCAACACGCCUUUACUAUCCAUGCUGGUGCUAGUUCUACCAAAUUGUUCUUGAUGGAGAAAGAGGAAGAAUGCACAUCUACUAGGCGACUGUUAUUUUUUUUAGAGAGCAAUAACUAUAUGAAUACCACAAAUGUGGGAAAUGAUGAGGUAGUGACUGAUAAUCAUAAUGUAGUGUUGGAGAAUGAUGAUGAUGAUGUGGUGGUUUUAGAGCCAACGCCAAUAAAUGAUGAUGAUAGGAUUUCAGAGUCAACACCGGAGAUGUUUUUUAAAAUUAAGAAAGAACUCAUUUACUAUUACAAGCCAUAUGAGAGACAGACUGGCUUUGACACAAUGAUCCAAAGAAGUAAAAGAGAAAAUGAUGGGAGUGUUAGAUAUAUCACUUGGUUGUGCUCGUGGUAGUAAGGUUAGAAAACGUAUUACCAACAUUUCUAAACCACGCCCAACAACAAAAACUGAUUGUAAGGCAAGAAUUAAUACAGUUCUGGCUAAUGAUGUCUUACAUAUAACUAUUAUCUGCAGUGCACAUAACCAUGAGUUAAGUCCACAAAAGGCAAGCUUUUUUAGAUGUAAUCGCGCAAUUGACGAUUCCAUGAAGAGGCAAUUAGAUAUUAAUGACAAAGCAGGCAUAUGUAUGGCCAAAAGUUUUAACACUUUGGUUGUCGAGACUGGUGGUUUUGAGAAAUUUCCAUUUAUUGAAAAAGAUGUAAAGAAUUAUAUUGACAAGGCUCGACACCUUAGGCUUGGCAAAUGAGGUGUUGAUCUAUUUCAUAGUUAUUUUGAGAGGAUGCAGUAUAAGAAUGAUGGGUUUUAUUCAUCGAUGGAUUUGGAUGAUGAUGGUCAAUUAGAAAUGUCUUUUGGGCCGAUGCACUCAGUAAAGCAGCAUAUAAGUAUUUUGGAGAUGUUGUGACAUUUGAUACAACAUAUCUAACAAAUAGAUAUGACAUACCAUUUGCCCCAUUUGUUGGUAUUAACCACCAUGGAAAGUCAAUACUUUUAGGAGCAGACUUGAUAUCAAGUGAAAAUAUUGAAACAUUUGUUUGGUUAUUUGACACUUGGUUGAAAUGGAUGGGAGGACGCCAAAAGCUAUCAUUACUGUUCAAGACAUGGUCAUGAAAAUGCUAUUGCAAUAGUCUUUCCAAAUACCCAGCAUAGAUACUGUUUGUGGCACAUAAUGAGAAAAUUACCAAAGAAGUUUGGCUCAUAUGCUGAAUUUAAGUGUAGUUUGAAAAGUGCAUUGCAAAGAUGUAUUUAUGAUUCUCAGACUUCUGACGAGUUUAAGAAGUCUUGGGAGGUAUUUAUUUAUACUUACAAUUUGAAAGAAAAUGCAUGACUUCAAAGUCUCUAUAGUAAGUGAAUGUAUUGGGUUCCUAUAUACCUGAAAAAUACAUUUUAGAUUGGGAUGAGUAUAGCUCUGAGGAGUGAGAGCAUGAAUGCCUUUUUUGAUGGAUAUGUAUAUUCAAGGACUACAUUGAAAGAAUUCGUUGAUCAAUUUGACAAUGCACUGAGGAAGAAAGUAAAGAAUAAGAUGGCAGCAAAUUUCCACUCAUUCAAUUGCACAAUACCUUGUAUAUCUCAUUUACCCUUGGAGAACAAAAUUUCAAGUAGCGUACACAAAUUCAAAAUUUAAGGAAGUGUAGUCAGAAGUAAUGAGAAUUAUCUACUCUCACUAUGUUAUCAUAAAAACAGAAUGGGCGAAUACCAUGUAUCAAGUUAAUGACUAAAGGGAAGUUGAAGAUGACAUCAAGAAGUCAAUUUUGCAUGCAUACUUCAAUGAAUAUGAGUGUGAGGCAAAGUGCAUGUGUGAACUAUUUGAGAUGAAAGGAAUUAUAUGCAGGCACAUUCUUUUAAUUUUCGCCGCAAGGGAUGUUCAAGUGUUGCCAGAAAAGUACAUUAUGGAGAAGUGGAUGACGGACAUUAAAAGUAGAUAUGCUCUCAUUUGAAGUAGUUACGAUGACUUGAGUGGUAAACUGGCCGCUACUCAAUACUCUGAUUUGAUACAAUUAUAUUACGAAAUAGCUACAAAUGCAUGUGAAAGCGAAGAUAAUUCCCUGGACAUGACAGAGAAGCUUAAUACAAUGAAUUUAAUUUACACUAAAUCAAAGCCCUAGGCCACAAUUGCAAGCACUCAUACUUUCCAUUGAUACCAAAACUGGAAAUUUGAAGGAAGUGUUAAGUCCUCAUGUUGUCAGAAGCAAAGGAAGACCCCUAUCAAAGAGGAGACAACCUACAAUGGAGAAGUUGCAAACCAAAAAUAAAAAGUCUAGUGGCAAGCGACAAAGAAAAAAAUGCAACAUCACAUAUGAAAGAUGUAUUAAAAUCUGCAGAUUUGGUAAUCCAAAUUGGUACACCACAAAAUGUACCAUCGCAAUUGCCUAGUACACAACAAAGCGUUAUUUCUCAGGUGAACUUCGAAAUGCAUGGCCCUCUUAAUGAUUGAUGAAAGACAUUGUAAACUAUUGCAUUUUGACUAUUUAAUGAGAUUUGAAGACGUUGUAGAUUGUACAUGUUGACUGACUAUGUUCAAAACUUCAAACUCUCAUUAGCUGUAUGAUGUGAUUUUGUAUUCUUGUAAACUUGAUGUAUUGUUGUAACGUUGGAUAUUUGAACCAUUUUAUAGGUAUGGAGUUAUAUAAAU